UACGUAGGGUGCAAACGUUGCUCGGAAUCAUUGGGCGUAAAGGGCGCGUAGGUGGUUUUGUAUGUCUACCGUGAAAGCGUACGGCUCAACCGUAUUUUGUCGGUAGAAACUGCAGGACUUGAGGCUGGGAGGGGCUGGCGGAAUUCCCUGUGUAGCGGUGAAAUGCGUAGAGAUGGGGGAGAACACUCGUGGCGAAGGCGGCCAGCUAGACCAGUUCUGACACUGAGGCGCGAUAGCGUGGGGAGCAAACAGG
rnacentral:rRNA from 1 species